rnacentral:rRNA from 1 species
AACCGGAGCUAAUACCGGAUAAUAUAUUGAACCGCAUGGUUCAAUAGUGAAAGACGGUUUUGCUGUCACUUAUAGAUGGAUCCGCGCCGCAUUAGCUAGUUGGUAAGGUAACGGCUUACCAAGGCAACGAUGCGUAGCCGACCUGAGAGGGUGAUCGGCCACACUGGAACUGAGACGCGGUCCAG